rnacentral:rRNA from 1 species
UACUCCUACGGGAGGCAGCAGUGGGGAAUAUUGGACAAUGGGGGGAACCCUGAUCCAGCCAUGCCGCGUGUGUGAAGAAGGCCUUAUGGUUGUAAAGCACUUUAAGCGAGGAGGAGGCUACUGAGACUAAUACUCUUGGAUAGUGGACGUUACUCGCAGAAUAAGCACCGGCUAACUCUGUGCCAGCAGCCGCGGUAAUACAGAGGGUGCGAGCGUUAAUCGGAUUUACUGGGCGUAAAGCGUGCGUAGGCGGCUUUUUAAGUCGGAUGUGAAAUCCCCGAGCUUAACUUGGGAAUUGCAUUCGAUACUGGGAAGCUAGAGUAUGGGGGAGGAUGGUAGAAUUCCAGGUGUAGCGGUGAAAUGCGUAGAGAUCUGGAGGAAUACCGAUGGCGAAGGCAGCCAUCUGGCCUAAUACUGACGCUGAGGUACGAAAGCAUGGGGAGCAAACAGGAUUAGAUACCCUGGUAGUCCAUGCCGUAAACGAUGUCUACUAGCCGUUGGGGCCUUUGAGGCUUUAGUGGCGCAGCUAACGCGAUAAGUAGACCGCCUGGGGAGUACGGUCGCAAGACUAAAACUCAAAUGAAUUGACGGGGGCCCCCACAAGCGGUGGAGCAUGUGGA